GCUGGGUGUGGUGGCUCACACCUGUAAUCCCAGCACUUUGGGAGGCUGAGGCAGGUGGAUCACUUGAGGUCAGGAGUUCAAGACCAGCCUGGCCAACAUGGUGAAACCCUGUCUCUA
ensembl:misc_RNA Metazoa_SRP Metazoan signal recognition particle RNA